rnacentral:rRNA from 1 species
UACGUAGGGUGCAAGCGUUGUCCGGAAUUAUUGGGCGUAAAGAGCUCGUAGGCGGUGUGUCGCGUCUGCUGUGAAAACUCAGGGCUCAACUCUGAGCUUGCAGUGGGUACGGGCACACUUAAGUGCUGUAGGGGAGACUGGAAUUCCUGGUGUAGCGGUGAAAUGCGCAGAUAUCAGGAGGAACACCGGUGGCGAAGGCGGGUCUCUGGGCAGUUACUGACGCUGAGGAGCGAAAGCAUGGGGAGCGAACAGG